rnacentral:rRNA from 1 species
GAUGAACGCUGACAGAAUGCUUAACACAUGCAAGUCAACUUGAAUUGGGGUUUUUAACUUAUGUUUGGGUGGCGGACGGGUGAGUAACGCGUAAAGAACUUGCCUCACAGCUAGGGACAACAUGUGGAAACGAAUGCUAAUACCUAAUAUUAUGAUAAUAGGGCAUCCUAUAAUUAUGAAAGCUAUAAGCGCUGUGAGAGAGCUUUGCGUCCCAUUAGCUAGUUGGAGAGGUAACGGCUCACCAAGGCGAUGAUGGGUAGCCGGCCUGAGAGGGUGAUCGGCCACAAGGGGACUGAGACACGGCCCUUACUCCUACGGGAGGCAGCAGUGGGGAAUAUUGGACUAUGGACCAAGAGUCUGAUCCAGCAAUUCUGUGUGCGCGAUGAAGUUUUUCGGAAUGUAAAGUGCUUUCAGUUGGGAAGAAAGAAAUGACGGUACCAACAGAAGAAGUGACGGCUAAAUACGUG